AUUAAACCUUGUCAAAACUAGUAUAGACAAGGGGAAUCCGACUGUUUGAUUAAAAUAAAGCAUUGUGAUGGUCCCUACGGAUGCUGACACAAUGUUAUUUAUACCGAAUGCUCUAUAUGUGAAAGUGAAGAAAUUCAACCAAGCACGGGUAAACAACGAGAGUAAUUAUGACUCUCUUAAUGUAUCCAAAUGCCUCGUCAUCUAAUUAGUGACAUGCGUGAAUGGAUUAACAAGAUUCCCACUAUCCCUAGAUACUAUCUAUAUAAACCACAACCAACAGAUAUUAGCCCAAAGU
rnacentral:ncRNA from 1 species